rnacentral:tRNA from 1 species
AAGAUUAUAAAAUUGAGCUGCUAACUCAAUACUAAUAAAUUUUUAUUUAAUCUUU